UACGAAGGGGGCUAGCGUUGCUCGGAAUUACUGGACGUAAAGCGCACGUAGGCGGCUUUCUAAGUCGGGGGUGAAAUCCUGGAGCUCAACUCCAGAACUGCCUUCGAUACUGGAGAGCUCGAGUCCGGGAGAGGUGAGUGGAACUGCGAGUGUAGAGGUGAAAUUCGUAGAUAUUCGCAAGAACACCAGUGGCGAAGGCGGCUCACUGGCCCGGUACUGACGCUGAGGUGCGAAAGCGUGGGGAGCAAACAGG
rnacentral:rRNA from 1 species